AAUAUGGAGAGUUUGAUCCUGGCUCAGGACGAACGCUGGCGGCGUGCCUAAUACAUGCAAGUCGAGCGGAUCUUGUCCUUCGGGACAAGGUUAGCGGCGGACGGGUGAGUAACACGUGGGUAACCUGCCUAUAAGACUGGGAUAACAUUCGGAAACGAAUGCUAAUACCGGAUACGCGAUAUGGU
rnacentral:rRNA from 1 species